AUUGAACGCUAGCGGCAGGCCUAACACAUGCAAGUCGAACGAGUGGCGGACGGGUGAGUAAUGUCUGGGAAACUGCCUGCUGGAGGGGGAUAACUACUGGAAACGGUAGCUAAUACCGCAUACCAUCGGAUGUGCCCAGAUGGGAUUGGCUAGUAGUGGGGGUAAAGGCUAACCUAGGCGACGAUCCCUAGCUGGUCUGAGAGGAUGACAAGCCAAACUGGAACUGAGACACGGUCCAGACUCCUACGGGAGGCAGCAGGGGGGAAUAGUGCACAAUGGGCGGAAGCCUGAUGCAGCCAUGCCGCGUGGAUGAAGAAGGCCUUCGGGUUGUAAAGUACGUUCAGCGGGGAGGCGUUACCCGCAGAAGAAGCACCGGCUAACUCCGGGCCAGCAGCCGCGGUAAUUC
rnacentral:rRNA from 1 species